UAUUAAUUUUUAGUUAGUUCCUUUUAUAAAUAAAAAGAUUGCAAUUCAAGUUGUUCUAAUAAAUUAUCAUCUAAAUAUUAGCCCGUGAUGACGCAUGGGUUGACGACUACUUCUUUUAAUUAGGAAGUGUUCUCUUUGUUUGUGACGGUAGGUUUAAUCUCUUGCGUGCGUGUCGUAUUUCUUUAAUAAUAAGACAUGUACUUUUAGUUUAACGAAAGGGAGACCAAAGGGAGCACAUUAGUGACAGUAGGUUUAAUCUCUUGCGUAUGUGCUGUUUUUUCUUCUAGGGCGUGGUGAUUAUAGUCUAACGAAAGGGAGACCAAAGGGAGCACGUCUCCUAUAGAUUUUUUUCUUUGCACAAGCGUAGAAGGAAAGACCAAUGGGCUAGACGUCUCUUGUUUCAUCCUACGGCUAUGAAACAAUUACAUAUUAGUUGGACGGUUGGAAUUUUUUUACUUUCUAGGUUUAAAGUGGAGUCGGUAUCAUUUUCUUCUUGCAGGAGGCAAUGGCAAGAGCAUAUUGUGUAGGGGAAGAGGAUGAGAAGAAACUUGUGGUACUCAUCCAAUCCUUGUUGAACUCUCUUUAUAUGCGAAUGUGCACUUGUUGGGUCCUUUUUCUGUGUACUUGCACUUGGAGAAGUAUUAUGUUGUGCACAUGUAAAAUUAUUUUGAUGUGCCCUUGUUAGGCGUUGAACCUUAAUGCGUGGAGUCGUUGGAUGAUGUAUUGUAUUUGAUGUGAUAUGCUACUGAAAUGAAAUGUACAUUUUAUUUGCAAUCUUUU
rnacentral:lncRNA from 1 species